rnacentral:lncRNA from 1 species
GUUUGUAUAUUCUUGGGCCAGGGAGUAGCACCAUUUGGAGGUGUGGCCUGGUUGGAGUAGGUGUGUUACUGUGGGUGUGGGCUUAAGACUCUCACCCCAGUUGCCUGGAAGUCAAUCUUCUACUAGCAGCCUUUGGAUGAAGACAUAGAACUCUCAGCUCUGCCUGCGUCAUGCCUGCCUGGAUACUGCCAUUCUCCCACCUUGAAGAUAAUGGACUGAAUCUCUGAACCUGUAAGCCAGCCCCAAUUAAAUGUUGCUUUUAUAAGACUUGCCUUGGUCAUGAUGUCUGUUCACAGCAGUAAAACUCUAACUAAGACAUCCAUCUAUGUUGAUUGAGGGUUUUUCUGGGUGUAGUAGCUUGGACUGACAUUUGUGUUCUCUUAGAUUCUGCAUGACCUCUGUCCAGGCUCUUCUGGCUUUUAGUAUCUCUGUUGAGAAGUCUGGUGUAAUUCUGUUAGGUCUGCUUUUAUAUGUUACUUGCCUUUUUUCCCCUUGCAGUAUUUAAUAUUCUUUCUUUGUUCUGUGCAUUUAAUGUUUUGAUUAUUCUGUGAUGAGAGGAUUUUCUUUUCUGGUCCAAUCUAUUUGGUGUUUUAUAAGCUUCUUGUACAUUUAAGGCCAUCUCUUUCUUUAGGUUGGGGGAUUUUUCUUCUAUGACUUUGUUGAAGAUAUUUUUGGGUCCUUUGAGCUGGAAAUCUUCACUCUCCUCUAUUCCUAUUAUUCUUAGAUUUGGUCUUUUCAUUGUGUCCUGGAUUUCCUGGGUAUUUUGGGUUAGGAGUUUUUUAUGUUUUGAUUUUUCUUUGAUACUGUGUCAAUAUCUUCUACACCUGAGAUUCUCUCUUCUAUAUCUUGUAUUCUGUUGGUGAUGCUUAUAUCUGUAACUCCUGAUCGUUUUCCUAGGUUUUCCAUUUUCACUGUUGCUUCCAUUUGUGUUUUCUUUAUUGUCUACUUCCAUCUUUAGGUCUUGGACCACUUUUCAGUUCCUUCACCUGUUUGAUUGUGUUUUCCUGUAUUUCUUUAAGGGAUUUGUGCUACAUCUGCUCCAGUAGUGACACGCGCGACAGGCCCCAAAAAACCUGGGCGCUGUCCUGAGGUGAAAAGUUCAUGGAAACUUAGUCUCCUGGAACCGUGGCAUCCUGUAUAACAAAUGCUCUGAUGUCCUUGCUUUAGUUGGUAAACGGAUCUGUGUGCUUUCCCUUAAUAUUGCUUUAUUAUAAGUGCCUCUAAGGAUUGAAUUUUUGACAUAUAGCUAAAUUAGAUUCUUCACCAGUCCUAGGCAGUCCUUGAGCCGACCCUGGGCAUGGAUAGCUAAGUCACUGCCCUACACAGGAAUUUACCAUUAUCUAGGAAGAAGGGAGUUUGUGAUCUAAGGAGGAACCAGAGUAUAUACUUAGAACUAUAGAUAGCUGAGCUACACUCAUACACAGGUAUUUACAAUGGCCUAAGGGGGAGGUGGACUAUACAAUAGACUAGAAUAGGAACUAUGGCCAGGGCACAAAGCCCUUGCCUAAGACUUCUAAGAUUAAGUGGACCUUAGGUGGGGCUGCUUUUGAUUCCCAGUUGUUAACAUUGAAUUUUAUCCCAGCUGGUUUCUGCCAGUCCUUCAUGUUUGCAUUCCUCUGUUUUGUGUAAGAAUCCAGUAACCUCAUUGUACCUUGCUGGUGUGUCACCUAACUUCCCUAGUUUCUUCUGUAUAAGAAGUUUGAUGCUCGAUUUGACAAAUUACAUUCAGAUCCACACUCCCUUGUGUCAAGUCUGUUUGUCACCCCCCUUUCGCUGACUCCUUUGCCCACCUACAACCAGAUCUGUUCCGUGCAGAUAGGAGACCCAGAAGGGGUUAGUCUGCGGCAGUUGGCACCUUCGAACAGGGACUUCGGGGUAGGUAAGUCU